UACAAAGGGGGCUAGCGUUGCUCGGAAUCACUGGGCGUAAAGCGCACGUAGGCGGAUUGUUAAGUCAGGGGUGAAAUCCUGGAGCUCAACUCCAGAACUGCCUUUGAUACUGGCGAUCUCGAGUCCGGGAGAGGUGAGUGGAACUGCGAGUGUAGAGGUGAAAUUCGUAGAUAUUCGCAAGAACACCAGUGGCGAAGGCGGCUCACUGGCCCGAUACUGACGCUCAUGCACGAAAGCGUGGGGAGCAAACAGG
rnacentral:rRNA from 1 species